GGUAGUUUAACCUUUCGGGGAGGACGCUCACCACUUUGUGGUUCAUGACUGGGGUGAAGUCGUAACAAGGUAGCCCUAGGGGAACCUGGGGCUGGAUCACCUCCUUAUACGAAGAUAC
rnacentral:rRNA from 1 species